rnacentral:tRNA from 1 species
AGCUAAAUAGUUUAAUUAAAAAUAUUAAUUUUGUAAAUUAAAAAUAUAAAUUAAUUUAUUUUAGCUA